GGAAGUAAAAGUCGUAAUAAGGUUUCCGUAGGUGAACCUGCGGAAGGAUCAUUAUUGUAUAACCGAGGUGCGAGGGCUGUCGCUGACCCGAAAGGUCGUGCACGCCCGAGUGCCCUCACACACAUCUAUCUCACCCCUAUGUGCACCACCGCGUGGGUCCCCCUUUGGCUUGUUCGGAGGGGGGCUUACGUUUUCACACAAACUUUGUAUGCAGUGUAGAAUGUAUUUUUUGUUUUUGCGAUCACGCAAUCAAUACAACUUUCAACAACGGAUCUCUUGGCUCUC
rnacentral:misc_RNA from 1 species